rnacentral:rRNA from 1 species
GUAGGUGGCAAGCGUUGUCCGGAAUUAUUGGGCGUAAAGCGCGCGCAGGUGGUUCUUUAAGUCUGAUGUGAAAGCCCCCGGCUCAACCGGGGAGGGUCAUUGGAAACUGGGGAACUUGAGUGCAGGAGAGGAAAGUGGAAUUCCACGUGUAGCGGUGAAAUGCGUAGAUAUGUGGAGGAACACCAGUGGCGAAGGCGACUUUCUGGCCUGUAACUGACACUGAGGCGCGAAAGCGUGGGGAGCAAACAGGGAUUAGAUGCCCUGGUAGUCCACGCCGUAAACGAUGAGUGCUAAGUGUUGGGGGGGGUUUCCGCCCCCUCAGUGCUGCAGCUAACGCAUUAAGCACUCCGCCUGGGAGUACGGUCGCAAGACUG